rnacentral:rRNA from 1 species
UGGUUUAAUUUNACGCAACGCGCAGAACCUUACCUGGGCUUGACAUNCNCGGAACCCUCCCGAAACGGAGGGGUNCCCUUNGGGGAGCCGUGAGACAGGUNNUGCAUNGCUGUCGUCAGCUCGUGUCGUGAGAUGUUGGGUUAAGUCCCGCAACGAGCGCAANCCUUGUCAUCAGUUNCCAUCANUCAAUUGGGCACUUUCAAGAAACUGCCGGUGUCAAACCGGAGGAAGGUGGGGAUGACGUCAAGUCUUCAUGGCCCCUAUGUCCAGGGGUACACACGUGCUACAAUGGCCGGUACAAAGAGUAGCAAUACCCCGAGGGGGAGCCAAUCUCAGAAAACCGGUUUCAAUUUGGAUUGGAGUUUGCAACUUGACUCCANGAAGUCGGAAUCGCUAGUAAUCGCGGAUCAGCANGCCCCGGGGAAUUCGUUNCCGGGCCUUGUACCCCCCCCCCGUCCCCCCCCGGGANUUGNCUGGUCCCGAAGUGCGUGAGCUAACCCNUUNNNNNNNGCANCCUCCCNAGGAAUGGUCAGUGACUGUCGUAACAAGGAAC